GCAUGAUCAUCUUAUUAGAUGUUGAAAAAGCCUUUGACAAAAUUUAACUCCCCUUCAUGUUAAAAGUCUUGAAGAGAUCAGGGAUCAUAGGCCAGUAUUAAAACACAAUAAGGUCAAUAUACAACAAGCCAAUAGUCAGCAUCACAUUAAAUAGAGAGAAGCAAUUCAACUAAAGUCAGGGAUAAUGCAAUAAUGCCUAUUCUUUCUGUAUCUAUUCAAUAUAGAAUCAGAAAUUCUAGUAAUAAGAUAACUAAAGGAGAUCAACUGGAUACAAAUUGGAAACAUAUAGGUUUUUGGAGAUGAUAUGAGAGUAUACAAAGAAUGACCCCCAGAGAAUUCCCACAGAUGCUAAACACCUUCAGCAAAGUGGUUGGGUAGAAAAAUUAACUUAAAAAAAAUUCAGUAGCCCUUUUUAUACAAACUACAAAGGGUCUGAGAAAGAAAUUAGGGAAACUGCAUCUUUCACAAUAGCCACAAAUAGCAUCUUUGUGUAAUUCUAACCAAGCAAGUGAAAGACCUAUAUGAAAAGAACUUCAAGUUCCUGAAGAAAGAAGUCAAAGAAAAUAUCAGGAGAUGGAAUAUUUCCCAUUCUCAUGAAUUGGUAGGAUUAAAAUCGUGAAAAUGACCAUCUUACCAAAAUAAUCUGUAGAUUUGAUGCAAUGCCCAUCAAAACACCAACACAAUUCUUUACAGACUUUGAAAGAGCAAUUCUCAACUUCAUAUGAGACACACAUACACACACGAACACACACACACACACACACACACACACACAAUCAACAACAAAACCAACAAACCAACCACCAGCAGCAGCAGCAGCAAUAGCAACAACAAUAAGAGCUAAAGCAAUCCUGUACAAUAAAAGAACUUCUGAAGGAACCACCAUACCUUCUCUAUAGCUGAACUACAAAUCAGUAGUGAUAAAAAUCUGUUUGAUAUUAGUACAGAAACUGACAGGUUCAUCAAUGGAAUGGAACUGAAGACCCAGAAAUAAACUCACACACCUAUGGACACUUAAUUUUUGACAAAGAGGCCAAAACCAUACAAUGGAAAAAGAAAGCAUGUACAAUAAAUGGUGCUGGACUACUGUAGAAUAAUGCAAAUAGACCCAUAUUUAUUACUCUGUAUAAAACUCAAGUCCAAGUGGAUCCACUAAAUCUAGUAGAAGAGAAAGUGGGGAAUUGCAUUGAAUACAUUGGCAUGGGAAAUAACUUCCUGAACAGAACACCAACAGCUCAGGCACUAAGAUCAAGAAUUAAUAAAUGGGACAUGGAAAACUGAAAAGUUCUGUAAGGUAAAGAACACUGUCAAUAGGAUAAAAUGCCAGUCUGCAGAAUGGAAAAAGAGCUUUACCAACCAACCCCACAUACAACAGAGAAUAUCCAAAAUAUAUAAAGAACUCAAGUUAGACACCAAAAAACCAAAUAACUCAAUUUAAAAAUGGGGUACAGAGCCAAACAGAGGAAUCACUUAUGGCCAAGCAGCACCUAAAGAAAUAUCUAACAUCCUUAGUCAUCAGAGAAAUGCAAAUCAAAAUGACUCUAGAUUCCACCUUACACCAGUUAGAAUGGCUAAUAUCAAAAACUAAAGUGACAACACAUGCUGGCAAGGAUAUGGAACAUGGAGAACACUUCUCCAUUGCUGGUGGGAUUGCGAACUUGUACAACCACUUUGGAAAUCAAUUUGGCAGUUUUUCAGGAAAUUGGGAAUAAAUCUACCUCAAGACUCAGCUAUACCACUCCUGCCCUUAUACCCAAAACUUGCCCCACCAUACCAUAAAGAUACAUGCUCCACUAUGUCCAUUGCAGCUUCAUUUGUAAUAACCAGAAACUGGAAACAACCCAGAUGUCCCUUAAGCAAAGAAUGAAUAAAGAAAAUAUGGUACAUUUACACAACAGAAUACUACUCAUCUAUUAGUAACAAGGAUAUCAUGAAAUUUGCAUGCAAUUGAUUGGAACUAGAAAAUAUCAUCCUGAGUGAUGUGACCCAGACUCAGAAAGAGAGCAUGGUUGUGUACUCACUCAUAAAUUGAUACUAGCCAUAAAAUAGAGGAUAUCUAUGCUGCAAUCCACAGACUCAAAGAAACUAAAUAACAAGAAGGGUACAAGUGCGGAUGCAUGAUUCUAACUCAGCAGGA